rnacentral:lncRNA from 1 species
AACACAGCAACCCGAGGAACUGCCUGAGGCAUCCACUUCCUGUUUCCACAGGGGCAGAACAGUUGUUUAAGGCUAUCUUUAAAUUGGUGGCUUAGAAAAUUAAAGUGGCAGAGAAGAUUCAGAAACUGUAUAAUCCUCAUCUGAAUAACUUUUGUAAAUGAAGCAAGAGAAAGCAGUCAUCUUGUUUCCUGAAGUUAAAGAUUCUAUACUACAUCCUGCUGAGACUCAAGAGGAGUUCUUCUGCCAGUGAUUGAAUGGUGUCCAUUUAAUUAGGUCUUCCACCACGUGAGGACACCUGAUAUGGUGCCAUCUACGGGGAAUGAGCCUUCAUCAGAUACUAAACCUGCCAGCACGCUAAUCUUGGACUUUCAGUCUCCAGAAGUCUCAGAAAAUAAAUUUCUGUUCUUAUAAAUUACCCUGUGUGUGUGUGUGUGUGUGUGUGUCUGUGUGUGUGCAUGUUUUGUUACAGCAACACAAAUGGACUAAGACGCUUCCUGUGAUCUCUCUGGUCUUACAACUGAAUUACCCAUUCUCUGCCUAUUGGCCCCACCCAGUUCUCUAAGCCAGGCUGAUGUACCCAAGUGUCAUAUCUCUACCAGUCCAUACAUACAAAUCAAAUAUGAGCCUGCAUUCUGCAUUCCUGGCCAUCUCUCAGGAGGCAUAUCCCCUGCCCCUGCCAAUGUUUGGUUCUAACCUGCCUUCCUUCACUCUUGCUUCCUUGGAUCUCUGGUUUCCUGUCCCCAAAUUGAAUUCAAUUCAAUUCCAACUCUUCUUGCGUCUUCUCCAACAUGGGACUUUGUUUAUCUGUGAAUUCUUUGUACUAGCUCCAUUCUCUCCAUCCUGUAGCCUUCUGUUCAUAGCUCCAAUAAUACCACUCAUCUUGUCCAUUGUAUUUAUCUGUUUAGAGGGUUGGCAUUCUCCACUGACUGUUAGUUCCAUUAGGAUAUGGAACAGGUAUGAUAUAUCUCUGUACUUUCAAGGCCUAACACUCUGCCAGGCAUAU